rnacentral:rRNA from 1 species
AUGACGCUUCUGAGCUGGAACUGCCGGGGCCUCGGGUAGCCCCGGACAGUUCAAGAAUUGGUGUGUCUGGUGCACACCUACAAGCCAAAGCUCAUUUUUCUUUCAGAGACACGGCAAAAAAAUAAAUAUGUAAGCAGCCUAAGAUGGAGACUAGGCCUGAAACACUGCAUCACCCAUGCUGGCGUAGGAAAAGGAGCCGGCAUAGCUUUGUAUUAUGAUGAAAGCGUGGAAGUAAUAAAACUUGCCGUGGGUUUGAGAUACAUUGAUGUGUUGAUUCGUUUAAACCCCCAUGGCCAGCAAUGGCGUGCAACUUUUUUGUAUGGAGAGGCAAAAUCGCAUGAACGUCACCAUAUGUGGAACCUCCUGAGAAGAACAAAACAUGCCUCCAAUGCACCAUGGUUGGUUAUAGGUGAUUUUAAUGAGACUAUGUGGCAAUCUGAACAUUUCUCUUCCUGCUACAGAUCGGAGAGAAAUAUGGCAAACUUUCGAGAAGUGCUCUCCGACUGUGAACUUCAUGACCUCGGUUUUAAAGGGCCGGCGUGGACAUACGACAACAAACAAGACGACAAGAGGAGUGUGAAAGCCCGGCUGGAUAGAGGGGUGGCGUCCUCGUCAUGGAGUGACAUAUUUUAG